AUACGGAGGGUGCAAGCGUUAUUCGGAAUCACUGGGCGUAAAGGACGCGUAGGCGGGUUGGCAAGUCAGAUGUGAAAUCCUACAGCUUAACUGUAGAACUGCAUUUGAAACUGCUAACCUAGAGUAUGGGAGGGGGAGAUGGAAUUAGUGGUGUAGGGGUAAAAUUCGUAGAUAUCACUAGGAAUACCGAAAGCGAAGGCGAUCUCCUGGAACAUAACUGACGCUAAGGCGUGAAAGCGUGGGGAGCAAACAGGAUUAGAAACCCUAGUAGUCC
rnacentral:rRNA from 1 species